rnacentral:rRNA from 1 species
UAGCUUGCUAGGAUGUCAGCUAAGUGGCGGACGGGUGAGUAAUGUAUAGUUAAUCUGCCCUUUAGAGAGGAAUAACUACUGGAAACGGUAGCUAAUACCUCAUACUCCUUCUUUUUUAAUAAGAGUUGGGAAAUGUUUUUUCGCUAAAGGAUGAGACUAUAUGGUAUCAGGUAGUUGGUGGGGUAAGAGCCCACCAAGCCAAUGACGCCUAGCUGGUCUGAGAGGAUGAUCGGCCACACUGGAACUGAGACACGGUCCAGACUCCUACGGGAGGCAGCAGUGGGGAAUAUUGCACAAUGGAGGAAACUCUGAUGCAGCAACGCCGCGUGGAGGAUGACACAUUUCGGUGCGUAAACUCCUUUUAUAUGGGAAGAUAAUGACGGUACCAUAUGAAUAAGCACCGGCUAACUCCGUGCCAGCAGCCGCGGUAAUACGGAGGGUGCAAGCGUUACUCGGAAUCACUGGGCGUAAAGCGCGCGCAGGCGGCUAUUUAAGUUGGAUGUGAAAGCCUACGGCUCAACCGUAGAACUGCAUCCAAAACUAUUUAGCUAGAGU